rnacentral:rRNA from 1 species
GACGAACUGCCCAAACGUUGUUCGGAAUCACUGGGCUUAAAGGGCGCGUAGGCGGCAGAUCAAGUCAGGGGUGAAAUCCGGCAGCUCAACUGUCGAAGUGCCUUUGAUACUGAUUUGCUCGAGGGAGAUAGGGGUCUGUGGAACUUCUGGUGGAGCGGUGAAAUGCGUUGAUAUCAGAAGGAGCGCCGGUGGCGAAAGCGACGGACUGGAUCUCUUCUGACGCUGAGGCGCGAAAGCUAGGGGAGCAAACGGG